CAGCACAGCAGAGCUUGCUCUGUGGGUGGCGAGUGGCGGACGGGUGAGUAAUGCAUCGGGACCUACCUGAACGUGGGGGAUAACGUAGGGAAACUUACGCUAAUACCGCAUACGUCCUACGGGAGAAAGCGGGGGACCUUCGGGCCUCGCGCGGUCAGACGGACCGAUGUUCGAUUAGCUAGUUGGUAAGGUAAUGGCUUACCAAGGCGACGAUCGAUAGCUGGUCUGAGAGGAUGAUCAGCCACACUGGAACUGAGACACGGUCCAGACUCCUACGGGA
rnacentral:rRNA from 1 species